UGUGUGAACAUAUUUGUUUGUGUCAGGAAGUACUUUGAGGAAGUAAGUGUACUGCCUGUGUUUACAUUCAUGUCUCUGUAACACUGUAUGUUGUUGUUUUUUCCCCCAUAUAUGGGCUCAAACACAUGAAGCAGACAGGAAAUGUAGUUGCUAAGCUGUUGCUAUGUGCACCAAAGCUAUUUAUGACUAAGGUGGUACAAAGAGUUUAGUAUAAAAAGGGCUGACUGACAGAAAUCUGUGUUCUUUUUCACUUUUGUGCCUUUGCUUUUUUGUCCUUUUCUUUUUGGACUUGUUGGUGAUUCUCAGCUGCAGACAGCUUUAGAGAAUUUCACUUGCUGAAGACACCAUCACCGACUGGUAUUGCAAACGACCAACUUGUGUCUGAACCUCUGCAAAUUAGAGAACCAAUCACCCAUCAGUCAAGUUACAAAUCAAGAUAUGCAGGUGUGGCCCAUUCACUUGGACACUAUAUGAACUCCAACUAGUCUGAAGUUUCAGAGAGUUCCCUUUUUCCUCUCCUUUCAGAAGACUGACUGCUCACUGACUGCUGCCUCAGACUGCCGCCUCCUGCCAGCCACUGUGAGUGCUCAAGUCAACUUUAGCCAACUUUAGUUCUUCGGGAAAAAUAUGAUGAAACUUUCCGUUUUCCUACUGAUGCUGCACUCUGUCAUUCUGGUCUGGUCCGUGCCUCCGGAAAAGUCACUAUUCGAAAUUCAGCAUAUUGCGAAGGAAGGAGACACGUGUGAUAAUCUGAUGAAUAAUCUGAUGAAUAAACUGAAUGAACCGAAUAAACAGAACAAGGAGGAGUCUAAAUGCAAGCCAAGAGAAUACCUUCAUCAUUGAUGAUAUGGAAAAUGUUAAAAAGAUUUGUAAUCAGAGGCAUGUUUAUUACAAUCUUUAUGCAAGCAACAAUGCGUUGAAAAUGUUGCACUGUAAAUUGAUCCCUAAUAGUUCACCUUGUAAGUAUGAAGACAUACCUAUACAACUGCAUGCGGAAAUCGCAUGUAACAAUAACAAGCAACCUGUACACUUUGAAUGUUCCUUUCCCUCAACAUCUAAAUAAAUUUGCUUAAAUAUUAACGGUAAUAAUAAUAAAUAAAAACAAUGACUGAAUACUGGAAAAUUGCUUUUCAGUGAUGAUGGAAGAAUAUUACAAUAACCAGCACUAUCUGUUAGACUUCACUUUGUCUCACUUAAAUAACUAUAUUUUACAUGUUUUCUAACUGGCUGUAUCUCAUCUUGUUCUCUCAUAUGACAAUCAUUGCCGGCCUUUCAGCACUCAUUAAAUAAACUAAAGAUGCCCAAGCUGCUGCUCCAGAGAAUUGCAUUACACUGAAAGUGAAACCACAUAUUUGGGUUGGUUUUUAAAACUCUGAAGAGAGAAGCUUUAUGCACAUUAUGUGACAGAAAAGGAAGUGGUUAUAAGUCGAGCAGGCUAGGCUGGGCUGGGCUGGGCUGGGCUGGGCUGGGCUGGGCUGGGGAAUAACACAGGCGCCCUAUAUAGCAAAAAGGUCCUAGGUUCAAAUCCAGCAUCUGACCUGAACCUUUCUGUGCGGAGUUUGUGUCUGUGUGUUGCAUGCAUGGCUUCUCCCCGGGCACUCCAGUCUUCUCCUAUAGUACAAAGACAUGUGUAGGAUUAGGUUAAGUGGUGACCUGUAGGUGUAAAUAUGGGUAUGUUGUCUUUUUCUCUGUGUUAGUCCUGCAAUAGACUUGCAACAUGUCCCGGAUGUAACCUGCUUCAUAGCAGACAUGAAAAAUUUAUAUCUGCUGUACAAAGUGAAGCUUAUUCAAGUGUUAGACUUAUCUUCAGUGUCUGGAUAAGUCAGGCCCACUUCUUCAUUGUUGCUGUGGUAGAUAACCAGCAGCAUCUUCAGAACCACGAUAUACAAAAGCACAGGGACACCGAAUGACAGAAAGAGUACACAUUUAGCGUAACUUUAUGUACCAAAAUGAAUUUUUUUCAGUUUAUCAGUUUUAGAGUUUCACUUUUCAGUUUUCUUGACCUCUCAGACAUACAAUUCAUCAUUUUGUUGGCUACCUUUCCCCAAACUGGACAACAUAAGAGGUGUAAAUACAAAGACUUGUCAUGUUGUUGAACCAUCUUCCCAGUGUUUCACUCCAAAUGCACUGUGCCAGACCUUGACACCAUGCUGCUUGGGUAUAUUAAUGAAGACAGACCUAGACCAAUCAGAGAAUUGAGAAACUAGGGAACAGUGAUGGUCAGAAAGCUCAGGCCUUCAUUGGCAUUACUUGUUUUUCCUGUGAUAAAGCACCAGGAAUCCAUUCUACCAUAACUGGAUGGCCUUGGCCCAGAAGUCAAACCUGCAUUGGCAUGUGCAGGAGAUUUUGGGGUCCAUUAAAAUUUGCAGAAAUCAAUGCAAAUAAAGGAAAGGUUGUGCUUCAAAUUUUAUAAAUACACUCAGUCUUUGUUUUCUAAAUAAAUACUUUUUUAUUUUUAGUGCAUCAUUCAAAACCUUCUGUUAUUCCAAGUAAAAAAAAUUCUGAGAACUGAGAAUUAUAUGUAAGCAUUUUAGGGUGAGAUGUCCAUUAUAAUACUUUUCUAAUACUUUGUUACUUCAGAUUGAUUCCACUUCUGUUCUGUGGCAUGCCAUCAACUCCUUCUAUCAAAUAAUGUCUUGACAUGAGACAGGGAAACACAUCUGUAUGAUCCCUGAAUUAAACAGGUUACUAUUCA